GUACAUUUGGUCCUCUGAACAAUGCUCUAAAAAUGGCGUUUGUGGCCCCAAUCAUAAUGACACCUGCAGAUGCAUCACUUCUCUUCCAACUGACGGGACGUUCUGCCGGCGACCACCUGCUCCUCUGAAGUCGUUUAAAUACUCCAUUGACAUAAAAAUCAAUGCUUCAAGAGAUGUUGUGGUAGAGUGCUUGAGGGCUUUGAUUCAUGGACAGAAAUUCCCCACAUGUGUCAAAAAAGGCAUAAAGAUCUCUGGUGUGGACAUCACUACAGUGUGUCUCUCAAAUGUGAACCAAACCCAGUGUAAGUGUGAGAAUCAGUACGUUUGGUCCUCUGAACAAUGCUCUAAACAUGGUGUUUGUGGCCCCAAUCAUAAUGAUACCUGCAAAUGCAUCAAUUCUCUUCCAACU